rnacentral:tRNA from 1 species
GCCGUCGUGGCGGGCGCGGUGGCCGUGGCGGGUACGGCGACGGCGGCGGGGCGGCGCAGCCGGUGGCCGUUCCGGGCGGCGAUGGCGGUG